AAUAUUUUAGUUGGAUAACUGAGGUAAUUCUUGAGCUAAUACACGCUAUUUAUACCACAUUAGUGGUGCGUUUAUUUGAUUAAACCAUUAUAACGGUUGACUCAAAAUAUCCUUGCUGAUUUUGUUACUAAAACAUACCGUAUGUGUAUCUGGUUUAUCAACUUUCGAUGGUAGGGUAUUGGCCUACCAUGGUUGUGACGGAUAACGGAGAAUUAGGGUUCGACUCCGGAGAGGGAGCCUGAGAAACGGCUACCACAUCCAAGGAAGGCAGCAGGCGCGAAAAUUACCCAAUUUUAGUUCAAAGAGGUAGUGACGAAAAAUGACAACCAAAUAUUAUUAUUAAUAUUUGGAUUGAAAAUCUUCAAGUUUAAAUAACUUGUUGGUAAAGGAAAGGGCAAGUCUGGUGCCAGCAGCCGCGGUAAUACCAGCUUU
rnacentral:rRNA from 1 species